rnacentral:rRNA from 1 species
UACGUAGGGUGCAAGCGUUAAUCGGAAUUACUGGGCGUAAAGCGUGCGCAGGCGGUUUUGUAAGUCUGUCGUGAAAUCCCCGGGCUCAACCUGGGAAUGGCGAUGGAGACUGCAAGGCUAGAGUUUGGCAGAGGGGGGUAGAAUUCCACGUGUAGCAGUGAAUGCGUAGAUAUGUGGAGGAACACCGAUGGCGAAGGCAGCCCCCUGGGUCAAAAACUGACGCUCAUGCACGAAAGCGUGGGGAGCAAACAGG